rnacentral:misc_RNA from 1 species
UACAGAGACCUCAAGCGUUAUCCGGAUUUAUUGGGCGUAAAGGGUCCGCAGGCGGCUUUGCGCGUCGACGGUUAAAUCUAAAGGCUCAACCUUUGGACUGCCGUUGAUACGGCAAAGCUAGAGCAUGGGAGAGGUAAGCGGAAUUACAGGUGUAGCGGUAAAAUGCGUUAAUAUCUGUAGGAACACCAAAUGCGAAGGCAGCUUACUGGAACAUUGCUGACGCUCAGGGACGAAAGCGUGGGGAGCGAAAGGG